CGCAGCCGCGGUAAUUCCAGCUCCAAUAGCGUAUAUUAAAGUUGUUGCAGUUGAAAAGCCCGUAGUUGAAUUUCGGGAUCAGACUGUCGGUCGUGCCUCGGUACGUACUGGCAUUAUUGGUUCCUACCUUCUGAAGAACCGCGAUGUCAUUAAUUUGGUGUCGUGGGGAAUCAGGACUGUUACUUUGAAAAAUUAGAGUGUUUAAAGCAGGCGCACGCUUGAAUACAUUAGCAUGGAAUAAUGAAAUAGGACGUUUGAUUCUAUUUUGUUGGUUUCUAGGAUCGACGUAAUGAUUAAUAGGGAUAGUUGGGGGCAUUAGUAUUCAAUUGUCAGAGGUGAAAUUCUUGGAUUUAUUGAAGACUAACUACUGCGAAAGCAUUUGCCAAGGAUGUUUUCAUUAAUCAAGAACGAAAGUUAGGGGAUCGAAGACGAUCAGAUACCGUCGUAGUCUUAACCAUAAACUAUGCCGACUAGGGAUCGGAUGGUGUUAAUUUUUAAUGUACUCA
rnacentral:rRNA from 1 species